UUAAUUUGUUUUGUUUAAUUUAAUUUUUGUUUUAAUUAUUUUGCUUACAUACUUAUAAUUCUUUGAUUCUCUAUUAUUCUCUCUGUUUUCUCUGAUUAAUCUAUUUCUGUUGGAUAUCCUUCUCGAUCCUGCGUCCCUUUGUAUAUAUAUGUAUAUAUUGGGUUCUUUAAGUGAUUUAGUUGAAGAAAUAAAUCUAUAGUGUUAAGAGAUUUGCAAUGAUUAAAAGUCCGUGGGUUGAUAAUUUGCAAGGAUUAGAGUUCCAGUGGAAGUUAAAUUCUUAUCGAAUAGAGUUGGCUUGAAUUUCAAAUUCCCCUAGAGGAUUAUUGGUGAUAAUUGAUUAUUUUUUAAAUUUUAAAUAGCAAAGGGUGAGCUAAAAUCAGAUUUUGUCCACUCAGAAUGGCUUAGCCAAUCAGGUGCGCAAUUG
rnacentral:misc_RNA from 1 species